CCUGGGUCUAGUAUUGUGAGAAAGAGAGAAAAAUUUAUGGACUCUGGUCUGGUCCAGCAGGCUAGUUCUUAUGAAACCCACAUACAGAUACAUAUGGGGGGAGAUGAUUUUAAUGGUUUUUAAAUGUGACUGUAUCGUGUAUAUUUUAAAUUGUGAGCUGCCUCUGGUGCACGGUCACUGUACGGGCAAGAAAGGCAGGAUAUAAUUUUUGUAAACAAAACAAUAAAUACAGAAAUGUGGAAAGAG